GGUCAAAAGAACAUAGCAUUUAUUUGUGGAAACGGACGGUUGGUGCAGCCAUUUUCAGAUCUCUCCAGAGAUGUUCAAUUGGGUUCAAGCGUGUCUCUGUCUGGGACACUUAAGAACAUUCACAGAGUGGUCCUGAAGCCACUCAUGUGUUGAGUCCUUAGGGUCAUUGUCCUGUUUGGAGGUCUGAGGUUGAGAGCACUCUGGAGCACGAAGAUUGACCGUUGGAUUCUUGGCAUCUUCCUGACUAAGGCCUCGACUCAGACACGAUAUUAGAGGCUCUCCAAAGAAGGCUGCUGGUCGAUCAGCUGAUGAUGUUGCCACGUGCUUUUUCUUUUUGCAUGCUCAUCUUUUUGUGCACGUAUUUGCUGAAUGUUCACCUUGACCUGGUCUCGAGUGUACAAGAGCAAUAUCAGUAUCAGUGUUGACAGGGAAAUCUUCCUUUGCAGGACCUGUAAGCCUAGUUUUUACAGGGAGAAUUGUGACAGACACAUGUGAGACUGAUGCUGGACUUUCUCCUCUUCUAUCUGUUGCUCUGGAGGCCAAUGGCUGGCUCAGACAAACUGAGGGGCCAUAGUGCACUGGGGAAGAGAAGAAAUCAAUCAAGAACUUAUCAAAUUCACAAAAGCUGUGUGCAAAAGGCCACACUCUUCAAAUUCAUUCACGACGCUUUGCGCUGGGGUGAACCAAUUGGAUGAAAAGCUUCAGUGCUUCAUGAAGCUUCAUCUGCCCAUCACUACUCCCACCCCAUGCAUGUAAAUGUUGCUGAACUGCAGAGCUCCUUCAGUGACAGACUGCUGCAUCCUAGAUGCAUGAAGGAGCGUUUCCGUAGGUCCUUCCUCCCUGCAGCUGUCAGACUGUACAAUCAGAACUGCUCCCAACAAACAGAUGUUCACAUCUGCGCUGUAACUGCAACAAGUUAAUUAACCGAUUCGCACUACAACCUGGU